UCCUAGUUCUGACCAUAAACGAUGCCAACUGACGAUCCGUGGGUGUUUUAAUGACCCCGCGGGCAGUCCCCGGGAAACCUUUAAGUCUUUGGGCUCCGGGGGAAGUAUGGUUGCAAAGCUGAAACUUAAAGGAAUUGACGGAAGGGCACCACCAGGAGUGGAGCCUGCGGCUUAAUUCGACUCAACACGGGAAAACUCACCCGGCCCGGACACUGUGAGGAUUGACAGAUUGAUAGCUCUUUCUUGAUUCGGUGGUUGGUGGUGCAUGGCCGUUCUUAGUUGGUGGAGCGAUUUGUCUGGUUAAUUCCGAUAACGAACGAGACUUUGGCCUGCUAAAUAGUAUACCUGUCCCCUGUGCUUGUUUAGGUGGCGGUGUUGUUCGCCCGUUCCGCGGGUGGAUGAUGCUGUUUACCGGCGAGUACUAUGCAGGUGUUUACUUCUUA
rnacentral:rRNA from 1 species